rnacentral:rRNA from 1 species
GACGAACGCUGGCGGCGUGCUUAACACAUGCAAGUCGAGCGGUAAGGCCCUUUCGGGGGUACACGAGCGGCGAACGGGUGAGUAACACGUGGGUGACCUGCCCUCAGCUCUGGGAUAAGCCUGGGAAACUGGGUCUAAUACUGGAUAUGACUCCACGGUGCAUGUCGUGGGGUGGAAAGCCUUGUGCGGCUGAGGAUGGGCCCGCGGCCUAUCAGCUUGUUGGUGGGGUGANGGCCUACCAAGGCGACGACGGGUAGCCGGCCUGAGAGGGCGACCGGCCACACUGGGACUGAGACACGGCCCAGACUCCUACGGGAGGCAGCAGUGGGGAAUCUUGCGCAAUGGGCGAAAAGCCUGACGCAGCGACGCCGCGUGAGGGAUGACGGCC